rnacentral:lncRNA from 1 species
AUCCCUAUUCUCAAAGCUCGAACUGAUUUAAGCAUCGGAGGGUUAAGAACCGGAGGAUCUCCAUCCAGUUUUUUUACUAAUUUUGCAGAUUGGAGAAUUUUCAUCGGAUCGCACGGAUCAUUCCAAUCCAGUCUCAUUCGAUUCGAGUUGUCCUACUCCAGAUUUUGAGCCUUGCAGCAACACUUAUCACUUCUUUUUAUUUUUAGAGAGCUUGCUCGAUACCAAAAGUAUUUAAUUUGACUAAAAUGAAAUAAAACAAUCAAA